UGGCGACCGGCGCACGGGUGAGUAACACGUAUCCAACCUGCCGAUGACUCGGGGAUAGCCUUUCGAAAGAAAGAUUAAUACCCGAUGGCAUAGUUCUUCCGCAUGGUAGAACUAUUAAAGAAUUUCGGUCAUCGAUGGGGAUGCGUUCCAUUAGGUUGUUGGCGGGGUGACGGCCCACCAAGCCUUCGAUGGAUAGGGGUUCUGAGAGGAAGGUCCCCCACAUUGGAACUGAGACACGGUCCAA
rnacentral:rRNA from 1 species